rnacentral:rRNA from 1 species
AGAAUCAACGCUGGCGGCGUGCCUAACACAUGCAAGUCGCACGAGAAAGUGGAGCAAUCCAUGAGUAAAGUGGCGCACGGGUGAGUAACACGUGAAUAAUCUACCUCCGAGUGGGGAAUAACUGAGAGAAAUCUUAGCUAAUACCGCAUAACACUUACGAGUCAAAGCAGCAAUGCGCUUGGAGAGGAGUUCGCAGCCGAUUAGUUAGUUGGCGGGGUAAUGGCCCACCAAGACGAUGAUCGGUA